GGCAUUUCAAUACAGUGACCCAAUUACUUUCUGUCAACAAAUUCACCAGCAAAAUAAAGGGGCUAACACAUUAAUGAGAUUUCCUGAGACUGCCAUGUAGAGAUGCUUGCAAUCCUUUGCUCUGGAGAAGCCAGGCACCAUGGCAUGAGGCAGCCCUGUGGAGAGGUUCAUGUGGUACAGGACCAGGCCUGCAGCAUCACUUGAGAGAGGCAACAUAACUCUUUUACUAUCACAGAUAGGACCACAAAACAGCCUUGUAAACUCAUCCUAGAGGAUCUAAAAGAGAACCCCCUCAUAACAGAAUGGCAUUCCCAGCUUGCGGGCUCUGAGACUCCACUGAGUCAUGCCACAUGUAUGGAAAAUGAUUUUUGGAGUGUUAUUCUAUCUAAGGAAAAACAAAGCAAAUUUUCCACUUUCAAGAUUAAAGGACAUUCUGUCUACAUUAAGACAAGCAGGUACAAAGAAGUAAGUUACUGUUGGAUUAAGAAUAUCCAAGACAAUGGUCACAACUUGAAAGCACAUGGAAAAACAUGAAUUAUUUUUAUAAUGUCAGCUAAUCCACAGCUGUGCCACCUGUUAGUAUGGAUGCUAUCCAAAAGGAUUUUUGAAACCUUGUUAUCCAAAUGCAGAAGUGGCAGCUGAAGAGAUGAUUUGUGACAGUAUUUGCUGAGACGAAGUCUGUCCACUAGAUGGAUAAAACCAGUUCCCUUUUCAUAGCUUGAUCAUCUACAUCUGCUAGUGACCCAGUCCCUGAGAGUCACCAAGAAUUGAUUCCACUGAGGCGAUGGCAGGUGGGGCUUUGGUGUUGGAAAAGUCAUUGGUUGAUAUUGACAGCACAGACUCACAUAAGCUGCUGGUUUAUUACACUAGAAAAAUAUGGCAUCCCUUGACCCAGCUCGGCAAGUGUGAAAUCACGAAAUAAAUGAAGGUUAACAAAGACUGGUCUAAGGAAUAGUUCACUACAAUACCGCAAUGCUCUUCUCACUAAUACUCGACUCUGCAUUUCGGUACUUAUAUCUGAAAGAUUUGCAAAUAAUGACAACAUUCGUGCCAGACAUUACUGCAAGUGAGGAACAGACUAAAGGAGAGGAAGGAACAAAAUGCCUUCCAAGAGAGAAACAUUCAUUAGCCUUACUGGCAAGUGUCUAAAGCAAACAAGGAAACUGCAAAAUAAUUACUUAGUUACAAAUAAACGCUUUUAGUACAGUA
rnacentral:antisense_RNA from 1 species